rfam:Methanocella paludicola SANAE DNA, complete genome.
UGGGACUAAAACUCCCGCCGGAAUGUAGCCUCAGAACGAGGCUGAACCGUGAA